rnacentral:rRNA from 1 species
GACGAAGGGGGCUAGCGUUGUUCGGAAUUACUGGGCGUAAAGCGUGUGUAGGUGGUUGCCAUAGUCAGGUGUGAAAGCCUUGAGCUCAACUCAAGAAAUGCACUUGAUACUGGGCAGCUAGAGGACCGGAGAGGAUAGUGGAAUUCCCAGUGUAGUGGUGAAAUACGUAGAGAUUGGGAAGAACACCAGUGGCGAAGGCGGCUAUCUGGACGGUUUCUGACACUAAGACUCGAAAGCGUGGGGAGCAAACAGG